UUGAUGAUCUCGCAGCAAGGUACACCAGAACGUAGCACGAGAGAAGUACAUAGAUCGAGCCAGGAGCAUGGACCCGUGCUUACGUGUUGCAGUUGACGCUGGUGCUGAUCUUGUAGGGCAGGGAGACGCCGCACUUGCUGGGCAGCACGGCAGCGCGGUCGAUGUACGUGCCGGAGCCGCCGGCGGCGCUGUUGGCGACGUUCUUGAGGCAGCCGCAGAUGGUGCGGCGGUCGGGGGUGUUGCUGGCCUGCCGCAGCAGGUUGCGGAUGCCAUCGCAGCACGGCUGCGGGGGCAUCGCGCCGCCCAUCUGCACGAACGGCAGGCACGGCAUCAGGGUGUUGUACACCGUGGUGCAUGACAUGGCCGCGCGCACCGCGGCCGGGGGAGCCGCCAGGGUCGCCGCCAGGAGCACGGCCAGCGCCAGCGUCGCGAGCCUCGGAGCAGCCAUGCCUCGGAGCCUCUCUCCUUGUCCCUCGGUCACACGUACAAGAUGGCGGAGAGCAGCGAGCUAAAG
rnacentral:lncRNA from 1 species